rnacentral:rRNA from 1 species
GGAAUAUUGGUCAAUGGACGCAAGUCUGAACCAGCCAUGCCGCGUGUAGGAUGAAGGCCCUCUGGGUUGUAAACUUCUUUUAUGGGGGACGAAAUCACUUAUUCUUAAGUGUCUGACGGUACCCCAGGAAUAAGCACCGGCUAACUCCGUGCCAGCAGCCGCGGUAAUACGGAGGGUGCAAGCGUUAUCCGGAUUCACUGGGUUUAAAGGGUGCGUAGGAGGGUAGGUAAGUCAGUGGUGAAAUCGCCGGGCUCAACUCGGAAACUGCCGUUGAUACUAUCUAUCUUGAAUCCCGUGGAGGUGAGCGGAAUAUGUCAUGUAGCGGUGAAAUGCUUAGAUAUGACAUAGAACACCAAUUGCGAAGGCAGCUCACUACACGAAGAUUGACUCUGAGGCACGAAAGCGUGGGGAUC